AUUUUCUUGUUGUACAUGAGACUCAGCUUGCAAUAUAUGAAACAACAAAGCUAGAAUGUGUGAAGCAGUGGGUCCCACGUGAUUCUUCUGCCCCAAUAACUCAUGCAACAUUCUCAUGUGAUAGCCAACUGGUAUAUGCCAGCUUUCUAGAUGCAACUGUCUGUGUAUUUAGUGCUGCGAACCUCAGACUACGUUGUCGUAUAAAUCCUUCUGCUUAUCUUCCUGCUAGUGUCAGUUCCAAUGUUCACCCACUUGUAAUUGCUGCACAUCCAUCAGAGCCAAAUGAAUUUGCAUUGGGACUCUCAGAUGGCGGGGUUCAUGUCUUUGAGCCACUUGAAUCUGAAAACAAAUGGGGCGUGCCUCCACCGGUUGAAAAUGGGUCAGCCAGCAGUGUGGCAGCAACACCUUCAGUUGGAGCUCCGGGACCAGAACAAGCCCAGAGAUGAUGAAAUGGCUGCCCGAGCACAAGUUCUUUUAUAUGCUUGGCUUGCAUGUCCACCCCUAAUUUAGGUAUGCUUUUCCAGUAUCUAAUUUGUUAAGAACAGUAUUGAUGAAAGAGAGACAUCCCAAACUAGUUGAUCCAACACCUGGGUUGUUCACCAUUUCCGAAUUAGAACUGAAUUUGGGUCAUUGUAACAGUUGGUGGUGCUUAUUGAAGAAGCAGGACAAAACCCUUUUGGUUUGUCUGGUUGCUUAACUAAAAGCUUGACAAUCAAGAUAUGUGAUCUGAGAACAAUAUGCAAAGAUGUAGAUUUAACAUAUUUUGUCAGAUACAAUCUAAGGUAUAUGUUAUGGUAGUAUUUGAUAGUUUCAGGUGUUUUCUUAUGCCCUGUUGGAGGGUGAAGAAAUUCUUAGAAGGAAUGAUUUUCUCUCCUGUUGUAGUUGGUUGUCUUCCAUAUUCUCCCCCAUCCCCUUCCCUUUUCCAUAAAUGGCAACGUUCUUUUUAUGUAUCACAUUUACAAUUUUCACAAA